rnacentral:rRNA from 1 species
AUAAACGCUGGCGGCGUGCUUAACACAUGCAAGUCGAACGGAGUGGUCCUCCCGAAGACCUGAUUGAGCUUGCUCUUGAUGGAAUUCAUUUGGAUCACUUAGUGGCGGACGGGUGAGUAACGCGUGGGUAACCUGCCCUAUACUGGGGGAUAGCAGUUGGAAACGACUGAUAAUACCGCAUAAGCGCACAGCAUCGCAUGAUGCAGUGUGAAAAACUCCGGUGGUAUAGGAUGGACCCGCGUCUGAUUAGCUAGUUGGUGAGGUAACGGCCCACCAAGGCGACGAUCAGUAGCCGGCCUGAGAGGGUGUACGGCCACAUUGGGACUGAGACACGGCCCAAACUCCUACGGGAGGCAGCAGUGGGGAAUAUUGGACAAUGGGGGAAACCCUGAUCCAGCGAACCGCCGCGUGAGCGAAGAAGUAUCUCGGUAUGUAAAGCUCUAUCAGCAGGGAAGAUAAUGACGGUACCUGACUAAGAAGCACCGGCUAAAUACGUGCCAGCAGCCGC